UGGGGUGGUGGUGGAGGGGGACUAAACCAGGAUUUCCAGUAUGUGCUUGGUCUGUUUGGCCAAAGGUGACUAACUUAGUGGACUGAGGUCGACCUCCCCCUCCCCCAAAUCAAUAAUUUAAUGUGACUUAUCAGAAAGAGAAAGAAUUGUUUACUUUAAAUCCCUGGAUCCCAUAAAGGGAGAGGGGGAAAGGCACACUGGGAACAGACGCUCCAGAGGGCCUUGUUUCUGCCUCUGGGCUGCUGAAAGGCAAGGCAGGAGAAAGCUGUUUAGAGGGAUGCAGCUUAGCUCUAAGAAAUGUGUGGAGCACCUAGGCCCAGUCACUGUUCAGAUCACUGGGACAGACCCUGCAGAGGAGAAGCUCCCCACCAUGCAGUCACUCUUGGAGGUGAAUUCUUAAGAAGUGAUGAGCCACUCAGCUGGGACAGUAGAGAGAAGUUUAUAUCUCCACUAUGGCCGAGGACUGUGAAAGAAAUAUCAAAUCAAGAAAGAAGGAAAAAGAAAAACUGAGAAAGAAAACACAAUGCAAGAAUGCCAUGUUGUAAUCCACACUCAGUUCCCACAGUCCUCUCUCUGGGAGUAGAUGGCUCUCUUCUUCACUGCACAAGUGGAACUGGUUUGAAUCAUCUCAUUGUUGAAAAUAGUCAUGGCCAUCAGAAUUGAUCAUCAUAUAGUCUUGUUGUUGUCGUAUAUAAUGAUCUCCUGGUUCUGGUCACUUCGCUCAGCAUCAGUUCAUGUAAUGCAUAGAGAUCUGGAGACUUCCUUUUUGGUGGGUCUCUGUAGCAAUGCUGCCAUGUGGAAGUGCAACUAGUCCUUUGGGCUGUGUGUUAUCCCUGCCAGAGCUAUGGAGUGUGACAAUGGUGUUUGUAUCCAGUCUAUCAAACGCCAUUAUCACACUAAAUAGCUACAGUUGGGUACUCCAUCUGUUCAGGGAAAAGAGCAUGUCAGGCAUCGAGUCAUCUGCUGAAGAUGGACAAAACUAUUACUCUUACUUCAGUGUCCUGCUCAUUCAUGGAUACCUAAGAAAUUGCCAAAAUGGUGGCUCAUAAAAGGUAUAUUCUCUCAGAGGCAGAAUUUUCUCAACUUUGCCUUUUACCUUUUGUUAUAAAUGGAUGUUUUCCUGAAGGAUGUAAGCUCCUUGAGGGCAGAGAUUAUUUUGUUUUAAUUUUCAUCUUUGUAUCCAUAGCCUAUCACUGCAUCUUGUACUAAUAAUCUUUAAUAAAUGUUUAUUGAAUUGGAA